rnacentral:lncRNA from 1 species
UCAAAACAACACUUGUAUUACAUAUUAAUAUUAUACAACCAACUCUUGCCCCACAAGUCCAGGGUCGAUCGUCUUACAACAUUACUACCGAGUCUAACUUUAUUACAUAAAGGGAAGUCUGAUAUCAGACUAUUAUAAUAACUAUAGAUCGUACUACCAAGCGGCGUAGUCUAGCAGUCUCAGCUUGGGUGAUGCGCCUUUUCCCUGCUUU